rnacentral:misc_RNA from 1 species
AAGUCGUAACAAGGUUUCCGUAGGUGAACCUGCGGAAGGAUCAUUAACACGUAUCCAACGUUAAACCCCCCGUGCACACAGGACCUGCUCCCCUCAAUUUCGUUCAGAGGCAAUCCCUGGUAAAUCAUCGCCAAACAGUUUUGAUUCAGGGACAUCCAAAGGAAGGGGUAGGGUAUUAAAGUAGUAGUCAUAUGCAAGCGACCUGGCUUCCACUGGAAGACGCUUUACGAAUCACCGAGGCCAGCACGGCAGGUGACCGGGUCCCUGGUCCUAGACCUAUUCACGACUCAGUCGCAGACGCGGGUAUGGAUACGUCCUUACCAAUAAUAAAUAACUGGAACAACUGUUAACAAUGGAUAUCUUGGUUCUC